UGCAGCUGUACAGUGCCAGUCUGGGCUUCCAUUACUCUAGCAUUGCUUCUUGUGGUCUUCAUUCAUUUCUUCGUUUAUAUAACAUGCGUCCUGAAGAGUAAAAAUAGCCAGACAUUAAAGAAACUGAAGACAAUGAGACAGCUGCAGGAAGAACCUGGUAUGAUGGAUUUGGAAGGCGAUUAUCAGACGCUGUCUCAUAAAGACACUGCAGUUUAUGAUGUGUGCAUCAAAGAUGAGAAUAUCAAGAGGAACAAGGAGAACAAUUAACUGAACAAAGGAAAGAGAGAAGGAACCGCUGCCAUGAGGACAGUGAACAGACAGAGUAGAAGGGAAAUAGGGAAAUCUACUUACUUAGCAGUGGCAACAAGAAAUAAAAAGAUAUGUUACGCUGUGUGUUUAUGACCCACUCUUACUUAACAAUUCGAUAUUUUCUUCCUCGUUUUUUUUUUUUAUUUAGAGACUAUGGGCCAAAGCAUUCAAGCAUCAGUCUUUCCUUCUCAUCUAUGGAAUCCCGUGUCUCUACUGCAUGUGCUGUUUUUAUUGGAUUUCCUCUUAAGUGGCUCUUCACAUCUUUUUAACUUUUGACACUCCCAGCCCUGUUCUGUUCUCAACUAGGAUGGCCAUUGGGUUAAUUCUCCAUAGUCUCCUCUUGUCUGCUUUGCUUUCCACCAGUAAUUCAAAAGAAACAGUUAUGGCAGCUGACUUUGGAGUAAAUGUUUGAAUUGUGUUCCUAAAGGACUUACUCCACUUGCUGAAUCCAUUACUACUAAGAGUGAUGAACAUGACCAAGAUUCGUCUAACAGAUGAAUCACGCAAGCGGAGAAUACCUCAUCGAAUCUCCUUACUACUUCAAUGUGGGCUGAAUGCUGACAUCUUAUCUGGGUGCUAUGAAUGUACAGUUAGUUCUGUCGAGUUCUAUCACUUAGAACCGGGGAAGCCAGUUCUGUCCUGUAAGCCCCUGUGGCUGCAAGUUUUCAUGUCAAACAAUUUCUACUUUAAAUUGGACUCCUUCCAUAAGUAAACAAGCUAUAUCAAUCAAUGCAUGAAUUACAAAAUGGUUAUUCUAAAUUUUUACUGAAUA